rnacentral:rRNA from 1 species
ACGGGUGAGUAACACGUAGGCAACCUGCCCACCAGACGGGGAUAACGACCGGAAACGGUAGCUAAUACCGGAUAGAUCCUGUCGCCGCAUGGCGAGAGGAAGAAAGGCGGCUUAGGCUGUCGUUGGUGGAAGGGCCUGCGGCGCAUUAGCUAGUUGGUAGAGUAACGGCCUACCAAGGCGACGAUGCGUAGCCGACCUGAGAGGGUGAACGGCCACACUGGGACUGAGACACGGCCCAGACUCCUACGGGAGGCAGCAGUAGGGAAUCUUCCGCAAUGGGCGCAAGCCUGACGGAGCAACGCCGCGUGAGUGAAGAAGGUUUUCGGAUCGUAAAGCUCUGUUGCCAGGGAAGAACGACUUUUGGAGGAACUGCCAGAAGAGUGACGGUACCUGAGAAGAAAGCCCCGGCUAACUACGUGCCAGCAGCCGCGGUAAUACGUAGGGGGCAAGCGUUGUCCGGAAUUAUUGGGCGUAAAGCGCGCGCAGGCGGCCAUUUAAGUCCGGUGUAUAAGCCCGGGGCUCAACCCCGGAUCGCACGGGAAACUGGAGGGCUUGAGAACAGCAGAGGAGAGUGGAAU